ensembl:rRNA 5S_rRNA 5S ribosomal RNA
GUCUAUGGCCAUGCUACCCUGAACAAGCCCGAUCCCGAGUCUGAUCUUGGAAGCUCUUGAAAGCUAAGAGGGUCGAGACUGGUUAGUACUUGGAUGGGAGACCACCUAGGAAGACCAGGUGCUGUAGGUA